GCGAGUCUGGCCGAGUGGUUAAGGCGUUGUGUUUAGGUAGCUACUACAUAGUAUUACUUGAACCGCAAUGGGCAUCGCCCGCGUAGGUUCGAUCCCUACGGCUCGCA